AAAUGAAUUGACGGGGGCCCGCACAAGCGGUGGAGCAUGUGGAUUAAUUCGAAGCAACGCGAAGAACCUUACCAAGGCUUGACAUGGAUCGGACAGGUAUAGAAAUAUGCCCUCUCUUCGGAGCCGGUCACACAGGUGGUGCAUGGUUGUCGUCAGCUCGUGUCGUGAGAUGUUGGGUUAAGUCCCGCAACGAGCGCAACCCUUACGUCCAGUUGCCAGCAUUUCGGGUGGGCACACUGGAGGGACUGCCGUGGAGAACACGGAGGAAGGUGGGGAUGAUGUCAAAUCAUCAUGCCCCUUAUGUCUUGGGCUUCACACGUGCUACAAUGGUUUUAACAAAGCGAAGCAAAGCAGUGAUGCGGAGCGAAACGCGAAAAAAGACCCCAGUUCGGAUUGCACUCUGCAACUCGAGUGCAUGAAGUUGGAAUCGCUAGUAAUCGCGAAUCAGCAUGUCGCGGUGAAUACGUUCCCGGGCCUUGUACACACCGCCCGU
rnacentral:rRNA from 1 species